ensembl:lncRNA
CAGAUCUAGGAUAGGAUUACUUUACUCCCAUACUAUCCUUAAUCACCAGGGGAGUGAAAGGUAUCUGACUCCGUAUCAGUAGUUAGGCUAUAUGGAUAAUUUAUUGGAGACAGAAUGAAGUUUGCCAGUAGACAAGACAAGGUCGGUUUACCAUAUUGCAUCGAUUCUUGCUAUGAGCCACUUUACAAUUCAUACCAAAUUUGUUAACCUUAUGGUGUUUGCCUUUCAUGCCUGAGACACGGGUUCGCUUCCCGCUCCGUCAGUUCGCUACAAUGGUGUCAGAAGUGGAAUGGUGGCCGUGGGGUCAUCGAAGCGCACAGCCCGGUAUGUGUGAGGGAUGUGAGGGUCAACCAAAAACACUUGUAACGCCCGUCGGAAGAAGUGGACCAAGGUGCAACGUGUUCAUGAUUCUUGAAUUAAUCCGAACACCAACCAAAACAACAUCUCUGCUGCCAGUGACUGGAACGAAUUGCAAACAUUGCUGAAGUUGGAGACUUUUAUUUCCCUCACCAACUUUAAACAUCAACUAUCUGAACAGCUAACCGAUCGCUGCAGCUGUACAUUGUCCAUCUGUAAAUAGCCCACCCAAUCUAUCUACCUCAUCCCCAUACUGUUUUUAUUUUAUUUACUUUUCUACUUUUCUGCUUUUGCACACCAGUAUCUCUACUUGCACAUCAUCAUCUGCUGAUUUAUCACUCCAGUGUUAAUCUGCUAAAUUGUAAUUAUUCACUCCUGUGGCCUAUUUAUUGCCUACCUCCUCAAGCCUUUUGCACACACUGUAUAUAGACUUUAUUUUUUCUACUGUGUCAUUGAUUUGUGUAUUGUGUUAUUAGCUUGUUUAUUGUUAACUCCAUGUGUAACUCUGUGUUGUUGUCUGUGUCACACUGCUUUGCUUUAUAUUGGCCAGGUUGCAGUUGCAAAUGAGAACUUGUUCUCAACUUGACUACCUGGUUAAAUAAAGGUGAAAUAAAAAAUAAAAAUAAAUAAAAGUUCAACUACAAUUCCAGUUAACUACAUAAUGAUAUUACAUGUCCUUAGACUUGGUUAGGUGCACAUCUAAUGUACUUCUAUGGUCAUCCUUCAUACUGUAUGAAUUUCUGAGCAAGGAGCUAUUGAAAUUUGAAAUAUUUAAAAAUGCAUAUAAAAUCUUGUGAGAUUAAAAUGGACAAACUGAAGGG